CCUACACACGAGGACUCCUGUCACGACGCAUAGAGGGAUGUCCUUACCGAAAGGCGGGGCAGAGCACGCAUCCUUAUGAGACGUCUUUAAAACACAGGCUGACAACUUCUUCCCGUUCUGAGCUGUUUGACGUUAUUUAGGUGCCUGACUUGCUCCUGUGAGGAAGGGCUGUGGUGGUUUGGCUCUGCGGCUCUAGCAUUUGUCCAGGACGGUGACAUCACUGAGUCACUGAGAGCACACGUUCUCUUUUCUCAAAACAGCCCUGGAAGACAUGAGAUGGUGCCCUGGACCUGACAUGGCCACCAGGCUCUUCUGUGCGGCUCUUUGCCUCUUGCGGGCAGGACACACAGAUGCUGGAAUCACCCAGAGCCCAAGAUACAAGGUCACAGGGACAGAAAAGAAGGUGACUCUGAGAUGUCAGCAGACUGAGAACCAUGACUAUAUGUACUGGUAUCGACAAGAUCUGGGCCAUGGGCUGACACUAAUCUAUUACUCAUAUGGCACUGGCAACAUUGGACAAGGAGACGUCCCUGAUGGGUACAACGUCUCCAGAUCAGACAUAGAGAGCUUCCCACUCACGCUGGAGUCGGCGACCCCCUCCCAGACAUCUGUGUACUUCUGUGCCAGCAGAGAAGCCACACUCUACAGCAUCUUAUCCUGUUCCGCCCUGCACCUGUAUCUCUCCAUCAUCUUCCCCGAGUCUCCCUCCGCUCCCUCUGCCCCAGCCGCGCUCAUCUGCACUCAGUGA